rnacentral:rRNA from 1 species
UACAGAGGUCUCAAGCGUUGUUCGGAUUCAUUGGGCGUAAAGGGUGCGUAGGCGGCGCGGUAAGUCGGGUGUGAAAUCUCGGAGCUUAACUCCGAAACUGCAUUCGAUACUGCCGUGCUUGAGGACUGGAGAGGAGACUGGAAUUUACGGUGUAGCGGUGAAAUGCGUAGAUAUCGUAAGGAAGACCAGUGGCGAAGGCGGGUCUCUGGACAGUUCCUGACUCUGAGGCACGAAGGUCAGGGGAGCAAACGGG